CUAACAGGUAGUAACAGAGGGUUUGAUCAUGUGGUCUAGAUUGAACGCUGGCGGGGAUGCUUUACACAUGCAAGUCGAACGGCAGCACGGACUUCGGUCUGGUGGCGAGUGGCGAACGGGUGAGUAAUGUAUCGGAACGUGCCUAGUAGCGGGGGAUAACUACGCGAAAGCGUGGCUAAUAUCGUACAUGUACCCUUCGGGGGAAAGCGGGGGACCUUUCGCCUCGGCAAAUUAUUAGAGCGGCCGAUAUCGGAUUAGCUAGCUGGUGGGGUAACGGCUCAUUUGUUGGCGACGAUCCGUAGCUGGUUUGAGAGACGACCAGCCACAUUGGGACUGAGACACGGCCCAGACUCCUACGGGAGGCAGCAGUGGGGAAUUUUGGACAAUGGGGAAACCCUGAUCCAGCCAUCCCGCGUGUGCGAUGAAGGCCUUCAAGCAAAGCACUUUUGGCAGGAAGAAACGGCACGGAUAAUACCCCUGCAACUGACGGUACCUGCAGAAUAAGCACCGGCUAACCAUUUUUUCAGCAGCCGCAGGUCAUGAAAAGGUUAAUCGGAAUUACUGGGCGCAAGCGUGCGCAGGCGGUUCGGAAAGAAAGAUGUGAAAUCCCAGAGCUUAACUUUGGAACUGCAUUUUUAACUACCGAGCUAGAGUGUGUCAGAGGGAGAGAAUUCCGCGUAGCAGUGAAAUGCGUAGAUAUGCGAGGAACACCGAUGGCGAAGGCAGCCUCCUGGGAUAACACUGACGCUCAUGCACGAAAGUGUGCCAAACAGGAUUAGAUACCCUGCUAGUCCACGCCCUAAACGAUGUCAACUAGCUGUUGGGGCCUCGGGCCUUGGUAGCGCAGCUAACGCGUGAAGUUGACCGCCUGGGGAGUACGGUCGCAAGAUUAAAACUCAAAGGAAUUGACGUGGGGACCCGCACAAGCGGUGGAUGAUGUGGAUUAAUUCCGAUGCAACGCGAAAACCUUACCUACCUGACAUGUCUGAAUCCCGAAGAGAUUUGGAGUGCUCGCAAGAGCAGAACCGGAACACAGGUGCUGUAGGUUGCCGUCAGCUCGUGUCGUGAGAUGUUGGGCUAAGUCCUGCAACGAGCGCAACCCUUGUCAUUAGUUGUUACGAAAGGGCACUCUAAUGAGACUGCCGGUGACAAACCGGAGGAAGGUGGGAUGACGUCAAGUCCUCAUGGCCCUUAUGGGUAGGGCUUCACACGUCAUACAAUGGUCGGGACAGAGGGUCGCCAACCCGCGAGGGGGAGCCAAUCCAGAAACCCGAUCGUAGUCCGGAUCGCAGUCUGCAACCUCGACUGCGUGAAGUCGGAAUCGCUAGUACCGCGGAUCAGCAUGUCGCGGUGAAUACGUUCCCGGGUCUUGUACAUACUGCCUGUCACACCAUGGGAGGGGUUUUACCAGAAGUAGUUAGCCUAACCGUAAGGAGGGCGAUUACCACGGUAGGAUUCACGACUGGGGUGAAGUCGUAACAAGGUAG
rnacentral:rRNA from 1 species